AAAUGAAUUAGUUCAGCAAUGACUUCAAAAUGCAGACAGGGAAAGGCAAAAGGUUUAUUAACAUUAGGACAAAAACCAAAAUAUCAUACAAAAGAAUAAUACUUCGAAGAUAAAAACUUUUGAAAGAUGUCGGUAGAAUAUUAAAUGUAUUACUAGAAGCUGCUAGAAGUAGUCAGAAGAUUCUAGAGAUCUCAUUGUAAUUAUUACUUUAGGGUUAUAGAUCUUGAGGAAUUAUUACUUUAAGGUUAGAGUUCUCAAUAUAUAGAGGUUGAUGUCUUGUUUCAAAUCAAUCAAUUGGAAUAAAAAUCUUCUUUCUUUUAUUAAUCCUUUCAAGUUAGUAUAAAGCUCCCGAUCUUUGGUGGCCUGAACAGUUCCUUUUGGGGUUGCCUGAACAUUUCCUUUAAAAUAUUGAGGUUACUGAAGUGCCACUGAACCUUUGUCAAAACGGUUGUCGAAGCCGUCACCGAACUUUUGUCAGAUCCGUUGUGGAACUUUCAUUGGAGUUGUUGUCUUGCUUCUGCUGGAAUUUUCGCCAGAGCCAUCAGACCUUUUGUGGGAGCUCCAACAAUUGCCAUUGUUGGAAUUGCCGUUGUUAUCACUGCUGUCAUCAUCAAAGCUUUUUGUCUUUAAUUAAGAAGGGCCUAAGGAAUCCCCAUUAUUUUCUUAAAACAUUGCAGCUCCAGUAGGCAACAUUAAUCUUCUAACUUCAUACUACGUGCUAAAGUUGAACAUCUGAAAUCUCUCAUGGAGUCUAUCAGCAAGUUACCUUAUGGUACUUGCUCUCUAGCCAUGAGUGUAAGCACAUCAUUAUUGCCAACGCGACUUGUAUCCCAAUAAUUGGUUGUGGUAAUGUUUCUCUUCUACCAUCCCUCAACCUUAAAGAUGUUCUUUAUAUUCUAAAACUUUCUAAAAAUCUUAUUUUUGUUCAAAAACUUACUAAUGACCUAAAGUGUUGUAUAACCUUUCUUUCCCGCUUCUUGGGUUCUCCAGGAUCUUGCCAUAGGGAGGACAAUUUGGAACAGUUAAGGGACAGGGAGAGUUGUAUUGUUUUAACAACUUGGGAAACACCGUUGGCCACAUAACCUCCUAGUAAUACAAAGAGUAUUACAUGGGGGCCUACGUGAAACUGUAGUAUAUUUAGUGCUAAAUGGUUUGUCAUGUUUAUUGGUGAUUGUACCUCUGUUACAGAAAUUUUGCUCAUGAAAGAAAAAUCUAAAGUUUUUAAUUUA